rnacentral:rRNA from 1 species
AGAGUUUGAUCAUGGCUCAGAUUGAACGCUGGCGGUAAGCCUUAAACAUGCAAGUCGUGCGGUAACAGACAUAAAGAUUUAGCUUGCUAAAUCCGGUGCUGACGAGCGGCGAACGGGUGAGUAACACGUAGGAAUCUACCCAGUAGCGGGGGAUAGCCCAGGGAAACUUGGAUUAAUACCGCAUACACCCUAAGGGGAAAAGAAGGCCUCUAUUUGAAGCUUUCACUAUUGGAUGAGCCUGCGUAAGAUUAGCUUGUUGGUGGGGUAAAGGCCUACCAAGGCAACGAUCUUUAGCUGGUCUGAGAGGACGAUCAGCCACAUUGGGACUGAGACACGGCCCAGACUUCUACGGAAGGCAGCAGUUAGGAAUAUUGGACAAUGGGGGCAACCCUGAUCCAGCAAUACCGCGUGUGUGAAGAAGGCUCUAGGGUUGUAAAGCACUUUAAGCAGGGAAGAAGCAUGUUAAGUUAAUACCUUAACAUGUUGACGUUACCUGAAGAAUAAGGACCGGCUAACUCCGUGCCAGCAGCCGCGGUAAUACGGAGGGUCCAAGCGUUAAUCGGAAUUACUGGGCGUAAAGCGCGCGUAGGCGGUUUAAUAAGUUGUAUGUGAAAGCCCUGGGCUCAACCUAGGAACUGCAUACAAAACUAUUAAGCUAGAGGACGAGAGAGGAGAGUAGAAUUUCAGGUGUAGCGGUGAAAUGCGUAGAUAUCUGAAGGAAUACCAAUGGCGAAGGCAGCUCUCUGGAUCGUUUCUGACGCUAAGGUGCGAAAGCGUGGGUAGCAAACAGGAUUAGAUACCCUGGUAGUCCACGCCGUAAACGAUGAUAACUAGCCGUUGGGCAGAUUUAACUGUUCAGUGGCACAGCUAACGCAUUAAGUUAUCCGCCUGGGGAGUACGGCCGCAAGGCUAAAACUCAAAUGAAUUGACGGGGGCCCGCCCAAGU